GAUAUUCAUUUUAAAACAGGGUUAUACUGCAUUACACCUCGCAGCCAUGCAUGGGCAUGAAGACAUUAUAGAACUUCUAGUGUCAACUUACAAAGCUGAUGCCAAUCUUCGAGACUACAGUGGGAAGAAAGCUAAACAGUAUUUAAGAAAUACUGCCUCUACUAAAGCUCAACGCUCGCUGUAUAGGAGAGGCACAAUGAGGCACAAGGAUCCUUCAGAGGAGGUCUUUCUCUAUUCUCUUACACUAACAGCCUGAACUCCUCAAUACUAAUAAGGAAUGAGGCAGUUAAGGCAGAAAAGGCAUUCCCAUUAUAUUUUUGUACACAAAAAACUGUUUUCUCUCUACGUUUUUAGAUUAAUGACUUUGCAGAGGUAUAAUUACUUUACGUUAUUUAAUACAUGUGUGAGCUUUAAAAAUCAAUAUAUUUUAUCAGAUGUAAUAUUAUUGUUUUUAAAUGAAGUAUAUUGGAAAAUGAUGCCAAAAAGUAAACGUAGUACACAAAUGUCCUGUAUUUAGAAAAAGUCAUGGCACUUCUGAUGAUUAUGCGAUUUAAAACAAUUUGAUUUGAAGUGGAAUGAAAUUAAUUGUCAGUUUGCAUGCAGCUUGGAAACUUUAUCACGGUUGUUAGAUAUACAUUGCUGCAUCAUAAGAAUGUGUGCACAAGGACAGUGCAUGCACCAUGGUCAGUUACAGAAAUAAAUCAAAUAUUUGAGUCUCAAAUGAUUGAACAUGUUUCAUGCAUCAAACGCAAGGAAAGCAUUGUAGCCUACAAAUUUACAUAUCCGUUGGAAUGGUGUCGAGUUUGAUUUGAUUUGUCAAUAAUAAAUUCAAAAAAUCUCAAUUUAUCGAGAUUUUGUUAAAUGCUUGAUAUCUCGAUGUACG